rnacentral:misc_RNA from 1 species
CGGCCUACUCGCAUCCCCAAUAUCUCUGGGUAUCUGGUUAAAACACCUCCAAUUUCUCUCCUUGCCACCCCAAUUCCAACCAGAUAAGCCACUGAUGUGCUCAUGGUCCCUUCAAGCUUGAAUCCCAGAACUUCUGGGUAUCUCUCAAGCACCCGAGGAAUAUCAUUUGGCUUGAUAUCCAUUCCUUGAAGAUAUUUGACCACUGGAGCAAGGUCUACAACAACGCUAGCAUGAAGGACUUGUGGGUAUCUUCUUAAGAAAUCUGUGAAGGAAGAU